AACGAACGCUGGCGGCAUGCCUAACACAUGCAAGUCGAACGAAGCCUUCGGGCUUAGUGGCGCACGGGUGCGUAACGCGUGGGAAUCUGCCCUUGGGUUCGGAAUAACAGUUAGAAAUGACUGCUAAUACCGGAUGAUGUCUUCGGACCAAAGAUUUAUCGCCCAGGGAUGAGCCCGCGUAGGAUUAGGUAGUUGGUGGGGUAAUGGCCUACCAAGCCGACGAUCCAUAGCUGGUUUGAGAGGAUGAUCAGCCACACUGGGACUGAGACACGGCCCAGACUCCUACGGGAGGCAGCAGUGGGGAAUCUUAGACAAUGGGGGAAACCCUGAUCUAGCCAUGCCGCGUGAUCGAUGAAGGCCUUAGGGUUGUAAAGAUCUUUCAGGUGGGAAGAUAAUGACUGUACCACCAGAAGAAGCCCCGGCUAACUCCGUG
rnacentral:rRNA from 1 species